rnacentral:rRNA from 1 species
UACGUAGGGUCCGAGCGUUGUCCGGAGUUACUGGGCGUAAAGCGCGCGCAGGCGGCCCGCGAGGUGUCACGUGAAAGCCCCGGGCUCAACUCGGGAGGGUCGUGGCAAACCGGCGGGCUUGAGGCUGGUAGAGGUGGGUGGAACUCCUGGUGGAGUGGUGAAAUGCGUAGAGAUCAGGAAGAACACCCGUGGCGAAGGCGGCCCACUGGGCCGGUGCUGACGCUGAGGCGCGAAGGCGUGGGGAGCGAACGGG